AAUAGAUACCCAGGUAGUCCACGCCGUAAACGAUGAGUGCUAAGUGUUAGGGGGUUUCCGCCCCUUAGUGCUGCAGCUAACGCAUUAAGCACUCCGCCUGGGGAGUACGGCCGCAAGGCUGAAACUCAAAGGAAUUGACGGGGGCCCGCACAAGCGGUGGAGCAUGUGGUUUAAUUCGAAGCAACGCGAAGAACCUUACCAGGUCUUGACAUCCUCUGACAACUCUAGAGAUAGAGCGUUCCCCUUCGGGGGACAGAGUGACAGGUGGUGCAUGGUUGUCGUCAGCUCGUGUCGUGAGAUGUUGGGUUAAGUCCCGCAACGAGCGCAACCCUUGAUCUUAGUUGCCAGCAUUCAGUUGGGCACUCUAAGGUGACUGCCGGUGACAAACCGGAGGAAGGUGGGGAUGACGUCAAAUCAUCAUCGCCCUUAUGACCUGGGCUACACACGUGCUACAAGUGGACGGUACAAAGAGUCGCAAGACCGCGAGGUGGAGCUAAUCUCAAUAAACCGUUCUCAGUUCGGAUUGCG
rnacentral:rRNA from 1 species